GUCUGUAUGAAGGUGUAUAGAGUCUGACCUGCCCAUUGAGAUUUUAAAAGGCCGCAGUAUUUUGACUGUGCAAAGGUAGCAUAAUAAUUAGUUUUUUAAUUGAGAGCUUGAAUGAAGGGUUGGACAAAGAAAGAGCUGUCUUUAGUAUUUUUUUUGAAUUUUACAUUUAAGUGAAAAGGCUUAAAUUAAUUUAAGGGACGAUAAGACCCUAUAAAUCUUUACAUUUAUAUUUAUAUUUUUUUGUUGUAGGUUAUGAAUUAAAUUAAGGUAUUAAAUGAAUGUUGUGUUGGGGUGACGGAGAUAUAUAAGUAAGAAGCUGUCUUUAAUAAAAAACAAAUAAUAAUUGAUUUUUGUGUAGAUCCUUGUUUAAAGAUUAUAAGUUUAAGUUACUUUAGGGAUAACAGCGUAAUUUUUUUUGAGAGUUCACAUCGAAAAGAAAGUUUGCGACCUCGAUGUUGAAUUAAAAUUUCCGUGUAGUGCAGAAGCUAUAAAGGAAAGUCUGUUCGACUUUUAAAUUUUU
rnacentral:rRNA from 1 species